GGAAGUAAAAGUCGUAACAAGGUUUCCGUAGGUGAACCUGCGGAAGGAUCAUUAAAUAAUUUGAGUAUGCUUAUGCAUAUUUCUAAUUUACUGUGAACUGUUUUACUGUUUAGCGUUUUGAGGGAUGCCUGGAGACUAUAGGGAUAGGUCUUUAGGAUGUUAACCUAGCUAAAGUCAGGCUUAGGCCUGGUAUCCUAAUUCAUUAUUUACCAAAAGAAUUCAGAAUUAAUAUUGUAACAUAAGCGUAAAAAACUUAUAAAACAACUUUUAACAACGGAUCUCUUGGUUCUCGCAUCGAUGAAGAACGUAGCAAAGUGCGAUAACUAGUGUGAAUUGCAUAUUCAGUGAAUCAUCGAGUCUUUGAACGCAUCUUGCGCUCAAUGGUAUUCCAUUGAGCACGCCUGUUUCAGUAUCAACAACAACCCACAUCCACAAUUUUGUUGUGAAUGGAAGUGAGAAUUUCGGACUUGCGCUGAAUUCUUUAAAAUUAUUAGGCCUGAACUAUUGUUCUUUUAGCCUGAACAUUUUUUUAAUAUAAAGGAAUGCUCUAGUUAUUAAGACUGUCUUGGGGGCCUCCCAAAUAAAUCUUCUUUUAAACUUGAUCUGAAAUCAGGUGGGAUUACCCGCUGAACUUAAGCAUAUCAUUAAGCGGAGG
rnacentral:rRNA from 1 species